GUCUACGGCCAUACCACCAUGAAUGCACCUGAUCUCAUCUGAUCUUGGAAACUUAGCAGGAUAGGGCCUGGUUAGUACUUGGAUGGGAGAAGCCAUAAGAUGGUUUAAGAAA
rnacentral:rRNA from 1 species